GUCACUGCCGUCAGUCCGGCUUUCCUUCUCAUUAGCCUUUAAAUGGAGAACUCAUCAAUCAUCAGCAACCACCAUGAAAAAGAAGCUACAGAAUGUCUUCACUUAAGUUAAUCUUACGGUAAACUGUUUCCUGAACUCUUCUAGAUCUUCCACCUUGUUUACAACGUUUCACUUUGCAAUGUUUCCGUAGUCAACAUUUCCCCUUCCCUGUCUGCCUUGUUUCUUGCUUUACCUCAUAUCUUUUCUUUUCCUUUAUCAAAAUUCUUCGCUUUAUCUGUAAAUGGAUCCUGCAGGUAGUCCUG
rnacentral:misc_RNA from 1 species